UCCUGGUUAGCUCAGUUGGUAGAGCGCUCCAUUGGAAAUAGAGGUUCCUGGUUCGAUACCAGGACCAGGCG
rfam:Ixodes scapularis strain Wikel colony gcontig_1107728675384, whole genome shotgun sequence.